GACGAACGCUGGCGGCGUGCCUAACACAUGCAAGUCGAGCGGAAUCAUAUAAAUUAAUCCUUCGGGAAGCGUUUAUAUGAUUUAGCGGCGGACGGGUGAGUAACGCGUGAGUAACCUGCCUGUAAGUGGGGGAUAACACAGAGAAAUUUGUGCUAAUACCGCAUAUUGAGAUAGAAUCGCAUGGUUUUAUCUUGAAAGAUUUAUCGCUUACAGAUGGACUCGCGUCUGAUUAGAUAGUUGGUGAGGUAACGGCUCACCAAGUCAACGAUCAGUAGCCGGACUGAGAGGUCGAACGGCCACAUUGGGACUGAGACACGGCCCAGACUCCUACGGGAGGCAGCAGUGGGGGAUAUUGCGCAAUGGGGGAAACCCUGACGCAGCAACGCCGCGUGAAGGAAGAAGGCCUUCGGGUUGUAAACUUUUGUCUUUGGGGAAGAAAAAAAUGACGGUACCCAAGGAGGAAGCCACGGCUAACUACGUGCCAGCAGCCGCGGUAAUACGUAGGUGGCGAGCGUUGUCCGGAUUUACUGGGUGUAAAGGGCGCGUAGGCGGGCUUGCAAGUCAGAUGUGAAAUACCGAGGCUUAACCUCGGCACUGCAUUUGAAACUGCAAGUCUUGAGUGUCGGAGAGGUAAGCGGAAUUCCUAGUGUAGCGGUGAAAUGCGUAGAUAUUAGGAGGAACACCAGUGGCGAAGGCGGCUUACUGGACGAUAACUGACGCUGAGGCGCGAAAGUGUGGGGAGCAAACAGGAUUAGAUACCCUGGUAGUCCACACCGUAAACGAUGGAUACUAGGUGUAGGGGGUAUCGACCCCCCCUGUGCCGCAGUUAACACAAUAAGUAUCCCACCUGGGGAGUACGGCCGCAAGGCUGAAACUCAAAGGAAUUGACGGGGGCCCGCACAAGCAGUGGAGUAUGUGGUUUAAUUCGAAGCAACGCGAAGAACCUUACCUGGGUUUGACAUCCUACGAAUCCUUAAGAGAUUAGGGAGUGCCUUCGGGAGCGUAGAGACAGGUGGUGCAUGGUUGUCGUCAGCUCGUGUCGUGAGAUGUUGGGUUAAGUCCCGCAACGAGCGCAACCCUUAUUGUCAGUUGCCAUCAUUAAGUUGGGCACUCUGGCGAGACUGCCGGUGAUAAAUCGGAGGAAGGUGGGGACGACGUCAAAUCAUCAUGCCCCUUAUAUCCAGGGCUACACACGUACUACAAUGGCCGGAAACAAAGUGCAGCGAAACCGUGAGGUGGAGCGAAUCACAAAACCCGGUCCCAGUUCAGAUUGCAGGCUGCAACUCGCCUGCAUGAAGUCGGAAUUGCUAGUAAUCGCGAAUCAGAAUGUCGCGGUGAAUACGUUCCCGGGC
rnacentral:rRNA from 1 species